GGGCGGAUAGCUCAGCGGAAGAGCACCUGCCUUACAAGCAGGGGGUCACAGGUUCGAACCCUGUUUCGCCCACCA
rnacentral:tRNA from 2 species